rnacentral:rRNA from 1 species
GUAAUCGCGCAUCAGCCACGGCGCGGUGAAUGCGUUCCCGGGCCUUGUACACACCGCCCGUCAAGUCAUGAAAGUGGGCAGCACCCGAAGACGGUGGCCUAACCCUUGUGGGGGGAGCCGUCUAAGGUGAGGCUCGUGAUUGGGACUAAGUCGUAACAAGGUACC